AGUGAACGCUGGCGGUAGGCCUAACACAUGCAAGUCGAACGGCAGCACAGUAAGAGCUUGCUCUUACGGGUGGCGAGUGGCGGACGGGUGAGGAAUACAUCGGAAUCUACUUUUUCGUGGGGGAUAACGUAGGGAAACUUACGCUAAUACCGCAUACGACCCACGGGUGAAAGCAGGGGAUCUUCGGACCUUGCGCGAUUGAAUGAGCCGAUGUCGGAUUAGCUAGUUGGCGGGGUAAAGGCCCACCAAGGCGACGAUCCGUAGCUGGUCUGAGAGGAUGAUAAGCCACACUGGAACUGAGACACGGUCCAGACUCCUACGGGAGGCAGCAGUGGGGAAUAUUGGACAAUGGGCGCAAGCCUGAUCCAGCCAUACCGCGUGGGUGAAGAAGGCCUUCGGGUUGUAAAGCCCUUUUGUUGGGAAAGAAAAGCAGCAGGUUAAUACCCCGCUGUUCUGACGGUACCCAAAGAAUAAGCACCGGCUAACUUCGUG
rnacentral:rRNA from 1 species